rnacentral:rRNA from 1 species
AGAGUUUGAUCCUGGCUCAGAAUGAACGCUGGCGGCGUGCCUAACACAUGCAAGUCGGAUGUGCCGCAAGGUGCAUGGCAGACGGGUGAGUAACGCGUGGGGAAUCUACCUUUUUGUGGGGAAUAACGUUCCGAAAGGAAUGGUAAUACCGCAUGUGACCACUUGUUGGAAUAUGGGUGGUGAAAGCCGGGGACCGCAAGGCCUGGCGCAAGAAGAGGAUCCUGCGUCUGAUUAGCUAGUUGGUGAGGUAACGGCCCACCAAGGCAACGAUCAGUAGCCGGCCUGAGAGGGUGAUCGGCCACACUGGAACUGAGACACGGUCCAGACUCCUACGGGAGGCAGCAGUGGGGAAUUUUGCGCAAUGGGCGAAAGCCUGACGCAGCAACGCCGCGUGGGUGAUGAAGGUCUUCGGAUCGUAAAACCCUGUCGUCGAGGACGAAGGUCGGAGUGUUAAUAGCAUUUUGGCUUGACGGUACUCGGAGAGGAAGCCCCGGCUAACUCUGUGCCAGCAGCCGCGGUAAUACAGAGGGGGCAAGCGUUAUUCGGAAUUAUUGGGCGUAAAGCGCGUGUAGGCGGUUUUUUAAGUCUGAUGUGAAAGCCCUGGGCUCAACCCGGGAAGUGCAUUGGAUACUGGAAGACUUGAAUACGGGAGAGGGCAGUGGAAUUCCUAGUGUAGGAGUGAAAUCCGUAGAUAUUAGGAGGAACACCGGUGGCGAAGGCGGCUGCCUGGACCGAUAUUGACGCUGAGACGCGAAAGCGUGGGUAGCAAACAGGAUUAGAUACCCUGGUAGUCC